rnacentral:misc_RNA from 1 species
CUGGGUUAUCAACUCCCUCCGGGGAGUACCACCCGCCCUCUGUCAUUUGCAACGGUAUUGCUUCGGCCGCUGGUUCUGCGUGCGGGUCGCCUCGCUCUCUCACGGGAGGGUUGUGGGUGGCCGGCGCGGGGUCACGGUCGGUCUCUCAACUCCAUGAACUGAACGUGUGUGUCUGAUGCAAAAAGAAAAAAACGAAAAGCA